GAUGAACGCUAGCUACAGGCUUAACACAUGCAAGUCGAGGGGCAGCAUGAACUUAGCUUGCUAAGUUUGAUGGCGACCGGCGCACGGGUGAGUAACGCGUAUCCAACCUGCCUUACACUCUUGGACAGCCUUCUGAAAGGGAGAUUAAUACAAGAUGUUAUCAUGAGUAAGCAUUUUCGCAUGAUUAAAGGUUUACCGGUGUAAGAUGGGGAUGCGUUCCAUUAGAUAGUAGGCGGGGUAACGGCCCACCUAGUCUUCGAUGGAUAGGGGUUCUGAGAGGAAGGUCCCCCACAUUGGAACUGAGACACGGUCCAAACUCCUACGGGAGGCAGCAGUGAGGAAUAUUGGUCAAUGGACGAGAGUCUGAACCAGCCAAGUAGCGUGAAGGAUGAAGGUUCUAUGGAUUGUAAACUUCUUUUAUACGGGAAUAAACGAAUCCACGUGUGGAUUUUUGCAUGUACCGUAUGAAUAAGGAUCGGCUAACUCCGUGCCAGCAGCCGCGGUAAUACGGAGGAUCCGAGCGUUAUCCGGAUUUAUUGGGUUUAAAGGGAGCGUAGAUGGGUUGUUAAGUCAGUUGUGAAAGUUUGCGGCUCAACCGUAAAAUUGCAAUUGAUACUGGCAGUCUUGAGUACAGUUGAGGUAGGCGGAAUUCGUGGUGUAGCGGUGAAAUGCUUAGAUAUCACGAAGAACUCCGAUUGCGAAGGCAGCUUACUAACCUGUAACUGACAUUGAUGCUCGAAAGUGUGGGUAUCAAACAGGAUUAGAUA
rnacentral:rRNA from 1 species